CCCGUGUAAACAUACCGCCAUGAUCUCCCUCGUUUCGUUCAUUCUUUGAAUUGAAGUGAGCCUCAGACUGUGAUUGGUGUAUGUCUUUCUCGUGCCAGCCUCUUUGCAUAUUUUGGGCAGCAUUUGGGACAGAUAAUUGACUCCCAAAGGAACUGCAGUGUACCAGAUCUCAUCGCUGAUAAAAUACGUCCUUUUGGGCUGUAGGUAGAGCGCUUUUGCGUCGGCGGGAAUUUUGCUCAAAUAUUUCUCCAGAGAGGCAACCGGACACAGCGGAUUGCCAGGCUCUUCAUACAUAGCUUUCCGUUUUCUCUUGCCUUCCCUUUCCUGCGGGUUCUUCAUGUCCUCGUUUAAUGUCAUCGUGAAGUAUUUGAAUCCGUUUUGGUCUCGGUUCAAAACAAACGCGUUUGGCUGCAGGUGUCGGUUGCCCUCCUUACCCCUGAGUCCGAAAUGUAAUUGGAUGUCAUACCACACCUUAUUUAACAAGCCUUUUGGGUUGCCAGGGUCCAGUGCAGCAGAAUGUUUCAGCAUGUGCUGAUCUUCGAGUGAAAUCGGAGGGUAAUGUGCUGUUAUAUCCCUACCGGAGCGUCGCAUCUGCUUAACAACCCCUUUAAAAACAUUGUUGGCGGACCUGAAUUCGGCGUCCUGCAUCAGAUUCCACGCGCGGUUGAGGGGAGGGUCGUUGAUGAAGCGAUUCAACCCAGCCCGAAGCCCGACAUAGCUGCUGAUACCGUACAACUCUCCCUUGCUCGUCCGAAUAGAUCCAUAAAACUCGCGCAGCACUGGGUUCAGCUCCGACUUUUCGGCGGUUUUAAAGUCGAUUGUCAGCUGCUUCUCGCGCAGCCAGGCUUUAAAACAGUUCACAGCCCAUAUUGUUUGCUUUACAGUACUCGAUUCGUUUCGGUUGUGCUCUAAUUCGUCUAAAUCCGCUGAUGACACAUUUGCACACCUGGAUAUUUGUGUGCUGCUAUCUGUGGGCUCUCCUCCCUCCGUCUCUUCCUCUUCACCUGAAGAGCUUUCGCACUUUAGGUCAAACAUUAUAUUCAUGGGAACAAGAUCCGUUGGUUAAAUUGGUGUCUGCUUUCUUCUAAUAUAUCAUAAAUGCUCAAGGUGUUCGUAGGAUCAUACAUGGCAUCCAAACUAACCUUUCCAUGUCUGUACAAAGCUCGAAUGAACCAGUAUUUUAAGCGGCUUGCUGACCUGUAUAAAUUCACAGCCACGAGUGUUUUCAGGAUUUCUUUGUUCUUCUUCAUGGAGAUACUGGCGGAUGGAGAGUCGCAGAAACAUACCGCCCCCUACCGUUUACUGUGCAAGCAACAGGAGCGAUCUGAUCAUCCAAACCAUCGAGUUCUGUUCUCCACUUUUAUGUAAAAGUCAUUUUAUUUAACCUUUGAUACCUUAUCACUGAUUUGUUAUCAUGCAAAAGCAAAUAAAAAUUUGAAAUGUUCGGUCA